rnacentral:rRNA from 1 species
AUUGAACGCUAGCGGCAGGCUUAACACAUGCAAGUCGAACGAGCGGCGGGCGGGUGAAUAAUGUAUGGGGACUGCCCGAUCGAGGGGGGUAACUACUUGAAACGGUAGCUAAUACCGCAUACUAUCGGAUAACCCAUAUUGGAUUAGCUAGUUGGUGAGGUAAAGGCUCACCAAGGCGACGAUCCCUAGCUGGUCUGAGAGGAUGAUCAGCCACACUGGGACUGAGACACGGCCCAGACUCCUACGGAGGCAGCAGUGGGGAAUAUUGCACAAUGGGCGCAAGCCUGAUGCAGCCAUGCCGCGUGUAUGAAGAAGGCCCUAGGGUUGUAAAGUACUUUCAGCAGGGAGGCGGUAUCUACAGAAUAAGCACCGGCUAACUACGUGCCAGCAGCCGCGGUAAUAC